rnacentral:tRNA from 1 species
CGGGGUGUAGUAUAACGGUAGUACGCAUGCUUUGGGAGUAUGUGGCCUGGGUUCAAUUCCCAGCACCCCGACCA